UGGCGGACGGGUGAGUAAUGUCUGGGAAACUGCCCGAUGGAGGGGGAUAACUACUGGAAACGGUAGCUAAUACCGCAUAACGUCGCAAGACCAAAGAGGGGGACCUUCGGGCCUCUUGCCAUCGGAUGUGCCCAGAUGGGAUUAGCUAGUAGGUGGGGUAACGGCUCACCUAGGCGACGAUCCCAAGCUGGUCUGAGAGGAUGACCAGCCACACUGGAACUGAGACACGGUCCAG
rnacentral:rRNA from 1 species